GACGAACGCUGGCGGCGUGCCUAGUACAUGCAAGUUGAGCGCUGAAGGUUGGUACUUGUACCGACUGGAUGAGCAGCGAACGGGUGAGUAACGCGUGGGGAAUCUGCCUUUGAGCGGGGGACAACAUUUGGAAACGAAUGCUAAUACCGCAUAAAAACUUUAAACACAAGUUUUAAGUUUGAAAGAUGCAAUUGCAUCACUCAAAGAUGAUCCCGCGUUGUAUUAGCUAGUUGGUGAGGUAAAGGCUCACCAAGGCGAUGAUACAUAGCCGACCUGAGAGGGUGAUCGGCCAAAUUGGGAAUGAGACAAGGCCCAAAAUCCUACGGGAGGCAGCAGUAGGGAAUCUUCGGAAAUGGACGAAAGUCUGAACGAGCAACGCCGCGUGAGUGAAGAAGGUUUUCGGAUCGGAAAACUCUGUUGGUAGAGAAGAAAGUUGGUGAGAGUGGAAAGCUCAUCAAGUGACGGUAACUACACAGAAAGGGACGGCUAACUACGUG
rnacentral:rRNA from 1 species